CAUGCAGACCAAUUAACUGAUUACAUUAAAAUGUUUACAGAAGUGUUACAAAAAAACCCAUUGAAACUCUUGUGAAAUCUUUGGUAAUUCUGUUUUUGUGAUUCUCUGGUAUAAAACCAGUAAUUACAAGUGGUAUUUUAAAUUUUGCAAAUAAUUAUUUUUAUUAAUUUCCAUUUUAGAAGUAAGUGGGUUAAUUAAUUAACGUAAAAUACUUAUUGGAUUCUUGAUUGACCCAGUAUAUAUGCUAUGCUCUGGGAUACAGCUGAGAAGGAAGGAUCAUAGUGUAAGGGUCCAGCGAAGCAUUGGAGAAAGAGACCACUCAUGCAAUUGGCAGAAGGGGAUUUAUUGAACCAGCAUGCUGGGGCUCUGUGCCCACUCAAGAAGGGAAAGCAGCCCAGAGCCCAUAGCAGGGGCUGAGCACUGCUUAAGUACAUUUUUUGGGGAGGGCGGAGGGCUUUGUAUACAUCAGAACAAAUCAUCAUGAGGCGCAGGAAAAUUGAACAACAACUCCUAAACAUGAUUAGUUCAUUCAUUGGUGGGAACAGGUCGGGCGGGGGUGAUAGGUCAGUUCUAAACGGGGUACACAUUCAAACUGAUUGGUUUUAGGGCCUAAAUGACUAUGUGACAAGUUACACAGAGUUCCAAGUUAUUGGACAACCAGGGAGUCAGUGGGAAUAUUUACUGGGCAGUUCCAGUAUUGUCCUAACAGCUACAGGAAUUUCAGGUUUUGCAGGUAGCAUAGAAACCUAACAAUACCUAAUCCUUUACAUUUUAACUCAGACCUUGCAGCUUGGAAACUUUACAAUGCCUGGUCUUUUACCCUUUAAUUUUUACGCUUUAACUUCAAUUUCUUUUACCCUUACAAUAGAACUUUCUUUAUCAGAGUUUAGAGCCUCAUGAAAUAUUUCCCAAACUUCCUAGUCAUAAGAAUCAUUUGGAGACCUUCAUUAAAAAAAUAAAUAACACCAAAAAUUUUUUUAAAUUAAAAAACAGAUUCAAAGGCCAUAUCCUUUAAUGGAUUGAUUCAAAUAUCUUAGGUUGCACUUGGGAAUUCAUAGUAAAUAAGACUGCCAAGCACUUUUUGUGAUGUGGGGAAAAG
rnacentral:lncRNA from 1 species